rnacentral:rRNA from 1 species
AUUGAACGCUGGCGGCAGGCCUAACACAUGCAAGUCGAGCGGGGUUUUCGGACCUAGCGGCGGACGGGUGAGUAAUGCGUAGGAAGCUACCCGAUAGAGGGGGAUACCAGUUGGAAACGACUGUUAAUACCGCAUAAUGUCUACGGACCAAAGUGUGGGACCUUCGGGCCACAUGCUAUCGGAUGCGCCUACGUGGGAUUAGCUAGUUGGUGAGGUAAUGGCUCACCAAGGCGACGAUCUCUAGCUGGUUUGAGAGGAUGAUCAGCCACACUGGGACUGAGACACGGCCCAGACUCCUACGGGAGGCAGCAGUUGGGGGAAUAUUGGACAAUAG